rnacentral:rRNA from 1 species
CCCUUAGAUGUUCUGGGCCGCACGCGCGCUACACUGAUGCAUUCAACGAGCCUAGCCUUGACCGAGAGGUCCGGGUAAUCUUUGAAACUGCAUCGUGAUGGGGCUAGAUUAUUGCAAUUAUUAAUCUUCAACGAGGAAUGCCUAGUAAGCGUGAUUCAUCAAAUCGCGUUGAUUACGUCCCUGCCCUUUGUACACACCGCCCGUCGCUCCUACCGAUUGAGUGUGUUGGUGGGGAGUUCGGAUUGGCUCUUAGUGGUGGUUCGCCACCACCUAGAGCUGAGAAGUUCUCCAAACCGCCCCACUUAGAGGAAGGAGAAGUCGUAACA